rnacentral:rRNA from 1 species
AGGUGUUGCAUGGCUGUCGUCAGCUCGUGUCGUGAGAUGUUGGGUUAAGUCCCGCAACGAGCGCAACCCUCAUCCUUAGUUACCAUCAGGUAAUGCUGGGGACUUUAAGGAAACUGCCAGUGAUAAACUGGAGGAAGGUGGGGAUGAUGUCAAGUCAUCAUGGCCCUUAUGGAGUGGGCUACACACGUGCUACAAUGGUGGCUACAAUGGGCUGCAAAGUCGCGAGGCUAAGCUAAUCCCUUAAAAGCCAUCUCAGUUCGGAUUGUACUCUGCAACUCGAGUGCAUGAAGUUGGAAUCGCUAGUAAUCGUGGAUCAGCACGCCACGGUGAAUACGUUCUCGGGUCUUGUACACACUGCCCGUCACGCCAUGGGAAUUGGUUUCACUCGAAGCU